rnacentral:rRNA from 1 species
UACGGAGGGUGCGAGCGUUGUUCGGAAUCACUGGGCGUAAAGCGCGUGUAGGCGGCCCACUAAGUCUGAUGUGAAAGCCCGGGGCUCACCCCCCGGAAGUGCAUUGGAAACUGGUGGACUCGAGUCCCGGAGAGGAGAGUGGAAUUCCUGGUGUAGCGGUGAAAUGCGUAGAUAUCAGGAGGAACACCGGUGGCGAAGGCGGCUCUCUGGACGGUGACUGACGCUGAGACGCGAAAGCGUGGGGAGCAAACAGG